AGUGAACGCUGGCGGUAGGCCUAACACAUGCAAGUCGAACGGCAGCACAGGAGAGCUUGCUCUCUGGGUGGCGAGUGGCGGACGGGUGAGGAAUACAUCGGAAUCUACUUUUUCGUGGGGGAUAACGUAGGGAAACUUACGCUAAUACCGCAUACGACCUACGGGUGAAAGCAGGGGAUCUUCGGACCUUGCGCGAUUGAAUGAGCCGAUGUCGGAUUAGCUAGUUGGCGGGGUAAAGGCCCACCAAGGCGACGAUCCGUAGCUGGUCUGAGAGGAUGAUCAGCCACACUGGAACUGAGACACGGGCCAGAAUCCUACGGGAGGCAGCAGUGGGGAAUAUUGGACAAUGAGCGCAAGCCUGAUUCAGCCAUACCGCGUGGGUGAAGAAGGCCUUCGGGUUGUAAAGCCCUUUUGUUGGGAAAGAAAUCCAGCUGGUUAAUACCCGGUUGGGAUGACGGUACCCAAAGAAUAAGCACCGGCUAACUUCGUGCCAGCCGCCGCCGUAA
rnacentral:rRNA from 1 species